rnacentral:rRNA from 1 species
GACGAACGCUGGCGGCGUGCUUAACACAUGCAAGUCGAACGAAGUGGCGAACGGGUGAGUAAUACGUGGGUAACCUGCCCUCCUUUUUGGGAUAAGCCUUGGAAACGGGGUCUAAUACCGACUCAAGGGGGAUGGGCUCGCGGGCUAUCAGCUUGUUGGUGGGGUGAUGGCCGACCACGUGGGUGACGGGUAGCCGGCCUGAGAGGGUGACCAGCCACACUGGGACUGAGACACGGCCCAGACUCCUACGGGAGGCAGCAGUGGGGGAUAUUGCACAAUGGGCGAAAGCCUGAUGCAGCGAAGCCGCGUGUGUGAAGAAGGUCUUCGGAUUGUAAAGCACUUUAAGUUGGGAGGCGUUACCAACAGAAUAAGCACCGGCUAACUUCGUGCCAGCAGCCGCGGUAAUAC